CCAGUAGUUGCCCUCGUGGACAUGUUACAAGAAGACGGUGAGUUCUUCCGCUCUCUUGCUGAUCUUCUGCUAGUGUCAGUUUGAUUGUUGGGAUUUUUAUGAAGCGCUGAGCGCGCGAGCAGCAGCAAUAGCAUGCAGUGCAUGACUAGACUCUACACAGAUCGAAUUAAUGUUGCAGUCAGACAAGAACAGAUCAUCCACAUGAUGUACGUGUUCGGGCCUCACAUUGGAAUAAGGUAACCAUCCUUGCAAGAGAAUAGACACAUCAGUGUGUGUAACUAACUAACUGCUUUCAUUUAGGUGGUUUUGUUUUGUUGAGGCUUAUUGUUGACUUGAAUCUGUUGUUGAUGUUUGAUUAAUGAUUUGCAUGCUUUACUGUGGCCUCUUUUUAUGACUGUGAUUGUGUGUAGGCCAUGCAGCUAUUAAUAGUAACAUGCUUGCCAGCACUGCGCUAGCUAGUAGAUAAAUAGUUAGGGCCUCGCCUUACGUGAGUGUACGCAUGGCUAAGAGUCUAUUACUCUGCAUGGCCUUGAACCCUUUGGGGGGGGGGGAGUGGUGUCCGUAGCACUGGAGUAACCAAUCAGAAUGUGUGUGGAAGGUUCUUCAACAGUCAAGUCACAGGACAGCAGCAUCUUGUUCUUGUAACCGUUGUCGAACCAGCCUUCGGGGUGCAAUGAUGGAUUACUCAUGGCACUUAAGUCUACCAGAGGGAGCACUCUGCUGUUAGUACCUGCCUAAGGGGAGACCAGCACAGGGUAUGUUCCUCCGGGAGCAUAUCCUGCCAUAAUAGGGAGUGUUGAGAUCUCGUUAUCAGUUCCAAUAGAGUCAGUUAGCUAGGCUCAUUAGAAAAUAGCUAGCGUUAGACAACUGCUGCUUCUUGGCUUAUGCUAAUCGGCUUUUUUAGGAUGUCCCUACUACACAUGGAAUUGGUAAGUUCAGGCUUUAACUAAACCCUAGGUGUGCCAAAGGAACUGUAGCCUUUGACUGGAUUAGUGAAGAGUAGUCUUGAGCACUUGUGCAAGCCUUGCGUGCCAGGCUUGUUGCAACUGGAGUCGACAAGGGCUUCAAGAGCAAGGAGGUGUUGUCUCUGUGAGUCUACUGUUGUUGAACCAUCCCACACAUUCUGGUUGAUUACUUCUGUGCUCACAGUCACAGGGUCCCUUUAGUUUAUUAUGCCCUUAUUGUAUUAGUCCCUUGGGCAAGGAAACUACUGGUGGUGUUCCCUUAGUUAUGGCAUGGGCUUGUCAAUACUGUGACUACUGGUGAGGAUAGUUCAACAGAGGAUUGAGCUGAGGAAUAGCAGGUUGCAGGAAAGUGUCUUCUGUCUAUCUGAACCCAGCCAGUGGUUUGACGUCAGUGUCGUGGACCUGUAGUGUACUGAACGGACGAGCAUCUGUUGUGAGUAUCAGCUUUGGUGAAAACAGCACGGCAGCCGCCCUCCUUGGAGGGGGUGUGAGGACUCCGGUCAGUCAAGAGGGGUUGAAGCGAUUGCUUGGUACACGGUUAGCACACUAACUGUUGUACCCGUCAAUCCAUUGGCUGGUUUGGACAGGCAGACGGUACUUCCCUGCAACCUACUGCUCCUCAGCUCAAUCCUCUGUUGAACUAUCCUCAACCAGUACAGUUGCAGUACUUACAAGCCCAUGCACGGUAGGGUUGUAGGUGGCCCCUUGCUAAUGAUGGGUAAUUAAAGAAUUGGUCAAAAUUAAUGUUGUGGUGUUAGUCUGGAAAUAAACAAAUUGACCUCCUGUGGUUGAAUUGUUUCAAAGAUUAAUUAUGUGGUUGGUUGAUUGUGGGAGUGUCUUCCUCUGCACACUGGUUUGUGCUGAGUGUUGGUCUGUAUGGUGAAACUGGAUGGCUGUAUUGAUAACAAUGAUCUGAAUGGUGAUUUUGUUUGUGACAUUGUCGUGAAAAUUAAUUAGUUGUUGGAAUUCUCAUCAUCUUCUCUCUACACGUUGGCAGUUGGUUUGGUGUUUGUUGACACUGCUGAAUGUGGUUGCAAUCGUCUGUGCAUGGCUGUUGUUGGGUUGGCUUGGCUAACAAUUAUUUUGCUAACUCUUGUCAUGUGUUCCUCCACAGCAAACCUUGUGCACUGACCAAUAUCCACUCAUGUUGGCACAUUUUCUUUUCUCUCCACAGCUACUGUGCCUUGAGAAGACAAUAAAGUGUGUGUGUGUGUUGUGGUAAGCAGUGUGUCCCCUACACAGGUGAGGUUAUUAACCCUUUGUGAAUAUCAAACAUUUCAUGAUAGCUUGCAGGUGCUAUGGCUACACUGGUGGAGGGGGUGUGGCCACACUGGUAGGUGAUUGUUGCUAUCACUUGUGCUAUCUCAUUCCUCAGCAAUUAACUAUCUGAUACGUGUAAUUGCAUCUUCAAUAAUAACAGUGUGUGGCUCCUCGGCAGGAGCCAUGGCUACAUGCACUGGUGGAGGGGGUGUGGCUACACUGGUGGGGAGAUGUUUUGCUCAGCUACUAUUGGUAUGUUCAAGUUUCACCUUGUCACUGAUCACUCUCUCUCCCUCACAUGCAUGUGGUAUCAAAAAAACGUGGAGCUAUGGCCACACUGGUGCAGCUACUAUUGGUAUGUUCAAGUUUAACCUUGUCACUAGCUGAUCACUCUUCCUUUCCGACAUGUGGUGUAUUUGGGUGGAAGUACAGAGGAAGAAAUAAAAAAAACAUUUUGUUUGAUGGGUGGAGUUAUAACACCCAUCAAUAUAGGUUUUGUAAUUAUUUUUAUUUUAUUGUACAUUUUACUCUUAGAAUGAAAAUGAAUUUUUGAUCACACAACAAAA